UACGUAGGCAGCAAGCGUUGUUCGGAAUUACUGGGCGUAAAGAGUGUGUAGGCGGUGCUCUAAGUUCGGUGUGAAAUCUCCCGCUUAACUGGGAGGGUGCGCCGGAAACUGGAGUGCUUGAGCGCGGGAGAGGAAAGCGGAAUUCCUGGUGUAGCGGUGAAAUGCGUAGAUAUCAGGAGGAACACCUGUGGUGUAGACGGCUUUCUGGACCGUAGCUGACGCUGAGACACGAAAAGCGUGGGUAGCAAACAGG
rnacentral:rRNA from 1 species